rnacentral:rRNA from 1 species
GACUAACGCUGGCGGCAUGCUUUACACAUGCAAGUCGAACGGUAACGCGGGGCAACCUGGCGACGAGUGGCGAACGGGUGAGUAAUGCAUCGGAACGUGCCCGGUAGUGGGGGAUAACUGCUCGAAAGAGCAGCUAAUACCGCAUACGACCUGAGGGUGAAAGGGGGGGAUCGCAAGACCUCUCGCUAUUGGAGCGGCCGAUGUCGGAUUAGCUAGUUGGUGGGGUAAGGGCCCACCAAGGCGACGAUCCGUAGCUGGUCUGAGAGGACGACCAGCCACACUGGGACUGAGACACGGCCCAGACUCCUACGGGAGGCAGCAGUGGGGAAUUUUGGACAAUGGACGCAAGUCUGAUCCAGCCAUGCCGCGUGCGGGAAGAAGGCCUUCGGGUUGUAAACCGCUUUUGUCAGAGAAGAAAUCUUCUGGGUUAAUACCUCGGGAGGAUGACGGUAUCUGAAGAAUAAGCACCGGCUAACUACGUGCCAGCAGCCGCAGUAAUAC